rnacentral:rRNA from 1 species
UGGGGAAUUUUGGACAAUGGGGGAAACCCUGAUCCAGCCAUCCCGCGUGUGCGAUGAAGGCCUUCGGGUUGUAAAGCACUUUUGGCAGGAAAGAAACGUCGCGGGUUAAUACCCCGCGGAACUGACGGUACCUGCAGAAUAAGCACCGGCUAACUACGUGCCAGCAGCCGCGGUAAUACGUAGGGUGCAAGCGUUAAUCGGAAUUACUGGGCGUAAAGCGUGCGCAGGCGGUUCGGAAAGAAAGAUGUGAAAUCCCAGAGCUUAACUUUGGAACUGCAUUUUUAACUACCGGGCUAGAGUGUGUCAGAGGGAGGUGGAAUUCCGCGUGUAGCAGUGAAAUGCGUAGAUAUGCGGAGGAACACCGAUGGCGAAGGCAGCCUCCUGGGAUAACACUGACGCUCAUGCACGAAAGCGUGGGGAGCAAACAGGAUUAGAUACCCUGGUAGUCCACGCCCUAAACGAUGUCAACUAGCUGUUGGGGUCUUCGGACCUUGGUAGCGCAGCUAACGCGUGAAGUUGGACCGCCUGGGGAGUACGGUCGCAAGAUUAAAA